AUUGAACGCUGGCGGCAGGCCUAACACAUGCAAGUCGAGCGAGCGGCGGACGGGUGAGUAAUGUCUGGGAAACUGCCUGAUGGAGGGGGAUAACUCCUGGAAACGGUAGCUAAUACCGCAUACUAAUAGAUGAGCCUAAGUGGGAUUAGCUAGUUGGUGGGGUAAAGGCCUACCAAGGCGACGAUCUGUAGCGGGUCUGAGAGGAUGAUCGGCCACACUGGGACUGAGACACGGCCCAGACUCCUACGGGAGGCAGCAGUGGGGAAUAUUGGACAAUGGGCGAAAGUCUGAUGCAGCCAUGCCGCGUGUGUGAAGAAGGCCUUCGGGUUGUAAAGCACUUUCAGCGGGGAGGCGUUACCCGAAGAAGAAGCACCGGCUAACUCCGUGCCAGCAGCCGCGGUAAUAC
rnacentral:rRNA from 1 species